rnacentral:lncRNA from 1 species
AAAGUACCUUUCUACUUACUGCGGUAAAGUUACUUGUUCUCCUGCAUAGUUCAGAACAAAGGGCUGCUUCACUUCAGUUAGUAGUAAGAUGUCAGCUGCAUGAUGACCUGUUCAAUUUCCAAUUGGCAAAAAAUAAAAUAAAAAAACAUUUUUUUUCACAAACAGAUUGAGAUGUAUGGCUGGGAAAACGUAGGAGGGGAAUUCCUCCUCAGAAAAAUUAGAAACUCACUCAUACCAGCAUUGAUUCUAGACUUUUCCCCCUUAAUUCUAACUUUUCUGUGCCAUAUUUCCUAGCAGCAAGCAACAUACUCAUUCAGGUGACCUGAUCUAGACAUGAAUGACUCACAACAGCCUUACACCACACCAAUCUUUUCUUCAGGAUCUUUCUGUGUGAAGGCAUC